AGAGUUUGAUCCUGGCUCAGAACGAACGCUGGCGGCGCGUUUUAAGCAUGCAAGUCGAACGGUAGAGAGGUGCUUGCACCUCUUGAGAGUGGCGAACGGGUGAGUAACGCGUAGAUGAUCUACCUUACGGUUGGGGAUAGCUCAUGGAAACAUGGGGUAAUACCGAAUGAGCUCUUGAAGCUGUAGCUUUGGGAGGAAAGGGGCUUCGGCCUCGCCGAGGGAUGAGUCUGCGUAUGAUUAGCUAGUUGGUGUGGUAAAGGCGCACCAAGGCGACGAUCAUUAGCCGGCCUGAGAGGGUGACCGGCCACAUUGGGACUGAGACACGGCCCAGACUCCUACGGGAGGCAGCAGCUAAGAAUCUUCCGCAAUGGGCGCAAGCCUGACGGAGCGACGCCGCGUGGGUGAAGAAGGCCGAGAGGUUGUAAAGCCCUUUUCUCACAGAAGAAUAAGCUUUUGAGGUAAUGCGAGAGUGAUGACGUUAUGUGAGGAAUAAGCACCGGCCAAUUACGUGCCAGCAGCCGCGGUAACACGUAAGGUGCGAGCGUUGUUCGGAAUUAUUGGGCGUAAAGGGCUCGUAGGUGGCCUGCCAAGUCCCACGUGAAAGACCAGGGCUCAACCCUGGGAGCGCGAGGGAAACUGGCAAGCUGGAAUCUUGGAGGGGGUACUGGAAUUCCUGGUGUAGGGGUGAAAUCUGUUGAUAUCAGGAAGAACACCGGAGGCGAAGGCGAGUACCUGGCCAAAGAUUGACGCUGAUGAGCGAAAGCGUA
rnacentral:rRNA from 1 species